UACGUAGGGGGCAAGCGUUAUCCGGAAUUACUGGGUGUAAAGGGAGCGUAGACGGUUAAGUAAGUCUGGAGUGAAAGGCCGGGGCCCAACCCCGGGACUGCUCUGGAAACUGGCAGGCUGGAGUGCCGGAGAGGCAGGCGGAAUUCCUAGUGUAGCGGUGAAAUGCGUAGAUAUUAGGAGGAACACCAGUGGCGAAGGCGGCCUGCUGGACGGUGACUGACGCUGAGGCUCGAAAGCGUGGGGAGCAAACAGG
rnacentral:rRNA from 1 species